GACGAACGCUGGCGGCGUGCUUAACACAUGCAAGUCGAACGAAAAGGCCCUGCUUUGGUGGGGUGCUCGAGUGGCGAAGGGGGGAGUAACACGUGAGUAACCUGCCCUUGACAGUGGGAUAACUUGAGGAAACUGGGGCUAAUACCGGAUAGGAGCUACUGCUGCAUGGUGGGGGUUGGAAAGAUUCGGCGGUUGGGGAUGGACUCGCGGCUUAUGAGCUUGUUGGUGGGGUAGUGGCUUACCAAGGCUAGGAGGCGUAGCCGGCCUGCGAGGGUGACCGGCCACAUUGCGACUGAGAUACGGCACAGACUACUACGGGAGGCAGCAGUGGGGAAUAUUGCACAAUGGGCGGAAGCCUGAUGUAGCAACGCCGCGUGCGGGAUGACGGCCUUCGGGUUGUAAACCGCUUUCGCCUGUGACGAAGCGUGAGUGACGGUAAUGGGUAAAGAAGCACCGGCUAACUACGUG
rnacentral:rRNA from 1 species